rnacentral:lncRNA from 1 species
CAGGCGGUUCGGUCCAGGGCUUCCCCUGAGGCUCCAUGCCCUGUCACCAUGGGCGGUUGCGGGACAAGGGUCAGGAGUCCCCCGCUCCCCCCCCCCCACCAGGCCCCAGUGGAGGUCAGCUCCUGCCAGGGCCACGGGACAGGCCCUUGACUCCUGCCGCUGCUCACCUCUCUUCUGGGCCCCACCAUCCCGGGGGCAUCCCUCUGCACAGUCUGUUACCUCCCCCCGGCCCUUCUUUCUGGUUGUCUGCCGGAUAACACCCCCUAAGUGUUGCUUCCCGGGUCUAGAGGGAGAGGAUGUCUUUGCCCCUCUGGCACGCAGGCUGGUGCCCACCCACGUCCGGGGAGGGUGCAUGUUGCAAGUAUAGAGAGACCCACAGCCUGGCCACUUCCCCACUUGCUCCUCUGGGCCUUGGCCCCCAGCCCACCUUUACCUGAGUAGGAGCUGUGAGCAGACCUCCUGCCGGCCCCCGGCCCUUGGUAGCCCUUCCGUCAGUGAAUCUGAAAGGGUCCCACACAGUGGCGGUAAAAGGCCCUGGGAAAGCCAGGGUGCAGAGGCUUGCAGGGGGACCCCACCCCACAGCCCCCCCGGGGCCAAGCCCCCAGGUCAGUUCCAGACCCACCCCUUCAAGGCCAUGCUGAGACUGGGCCCUGGAGGGGAGGUCAGGCAGCCUUCCUGCCCCAGCUGGCCAGGGGAGGGUGGAGGAGGGGCUGGCCGGGUCACGCUCCCCGCACUUAUCGGGACGCCGAGCAACCUGCCCUCUCCCCUGGACCUGAGUUCUGGAAAACAAAGCGGGCCCGACAGCUUUGGAACAUGGUGCCUGGUGCUGAUGCUCACGCAGGACAUCUUCUGGAGCCCACCCCUGGGACGCACACCUGGCUGCUCGUUCUCCGGGGUUGGCUCUGGCUCCACCUCCGGGGAGCCCUCCCUGACUCUCCACCCAGCAGUGGAGGAGACAGUGCCGGUCGCCAGGAUGGGCAGCGUCACGCCCGGGCCUCCCUCACUGGACAGCGGCCCUCAGGAAAGGGAAAGGACGGUGUCUCCGGUCUUUGCGGUGGGCGUCGGGAGCCAGGGACGGACACACAGCAGCCGUGCGAAUAUCCAAGGAAGCUCCACCGAGGAAGCUCCACGGCUGGCAAACAGGCUCGGAGGAAGAUGCUGUCCACCAUCAGCCCUCAGGGAGACGCAAACACGAGCGACCACAAGAAAGUCGCCGAGGGGCCAAGCUCCCCCAGACCCCCCUC